AGACCCGAAACCCGGUGAUCUAGCCAUGGGCAGGUUGAAGGUUGGGUAACACUAACUGGAGGACCGAACCGACUAAUGUUGAAAAAUUAGCGGAUGACCUGUGGCUGGGGGUGAAAGGCCAAUCAAACCGGGAGAUAGCUGGUUCUCCCCGAAAGCUAUUUAGGUAGCGCCUCGUGAAUUCAUCUCCGGGGGUAGAGCACUGUUUCGGCUAGGGGGCCAUCCCGGCUUACCAACCCGAUGCAAACUGCGAAUACCGGAGAAUGUUAUCACGGGAGACACACGGCGGGUGCUAACGUCCGUCGUGAAGAGGGAAACAACCCAGACCGCCAGCUAAGGUCCCAAAGUCAUGGUUAAGUGGGAAACGAUGUGGGAAGGCCCAGACAGCCAGGAUGUUGGCUUAGAAGCAGCCAUCAUUUAAAGAAAGCGUAAUAGCUCACUGGUCGAGUCGGCCUGCGCGGAAGAUGUAACGGGGCUAAACCAUGCACCGAAGCUGCGGCAGCGAACGUAUCACCCAAGACAACUUUACGGAGUUGACGAUUGACGGAGCGAAGCGACGUCAAAGCGUUCAUUAAAGUCGAGUUGGCUUAGGGAUACGUUCGUUGGGUAGGGGAGCGUUCUGUAAGCCUGUGAAGGUGUGUCGUGAGGCAUGCUGGAGGUAUCAGAAGUGCGAAUGCUGACAUAAGUAACGAUAAAGCGGGUGAAAAGCCCGCUCGCCGGAAGACCAAGGGUUCCUGUCCAACGUUAAU
rnacentral:rRNA from 1 species